GACGAACGCUGGCGGCGUGCUUAACACAUGCAAGUCGAGCGGUAAGGCCCUUUCGGGGGUACACGAGCGGCGAACGGGUGAGUAACACGUGGGUGACCUGCCCUCAGCUCUGGGAUAAGCCCGGGAAACUGGGUCUAAUACCGGAUAUGACUCCAUGACGCAUGUUGUGGGGUGGAAAGCCUUGUGCGGCUGAGGAUGGGCCCGCGGCCUAUCAGCUUGUUGGUGGGGUGAUGGCCUACCAAGGCGACGACGGGUAGCCGGCCUGAGAGGCGACCGGCCACACUGGGACUGAGACACGGCCCAGACUCCUACGGGAGCAGCAGUGGGGAAUCUUGCGCAAUGGGCAAAGCCUGACGCAGCGACGCCGCGUGAGGGAUGAACGGCCU
rnacentral:rRNA from 1 species